UACGUAGGGUGCAAGCGUUGUCCGGAAUUAUUGGGCGUAAAGAGCUCGUAGGCGGUUUGUCGCGUCUGCUGUGAAAACUCGGGGCUUAACUCCGGGCCUGCAGUGGGUACGGGCAGACUAGAGUGCGGUAGGGGAGACUGGAAUUCCUGGUGUAGCGGUGAAAUGCGCAGAUAUCUGGAGGAAUACCGGUGGCGAAGGCGGCAUCCUGGACCGACAUUGACGCUGAUGAGCGAAAGCUAGGGGAGCAAACGGG
rnacentral:rRNA from 1 species